UACAGAGGUGCCAAGCGUUGUUCGGAUUUAUUGGGCGUAAAGGGUGCGUAGGCGGUGAUGCAAGUCGGGUGUGAAAUACCGGAGCCUAACUCCGGAACGGCAUUCGAAACUGCAUCGCUCGAGGUCUGGAGAGGUGAUUGGAAUUCUCGGUGUAGCAGUGAAAUGCGUAGAUAUCGAGAGGAACACCAGAGGCGAAGGCGAAUCACUAGACAGAACCUGACGCUGAGGCACGAAAGCUAGGGGAGCAAACGGG
rnacentral:rRNA from 1 species